GAUGAACGCUGGCGGCGUGCUUAACACAUGCAAGUCGAACGGGAAUUCUUUUAUUGAAACUUCGGUCGAUUUAAUUUAAUUCUAGUGGCGGACGGGUGAGUAACGCGUGGGUAACCUGCCUUAUACAGGGGGAUAACAGUCAGAAAUGGCUGCUAAUACCGCAUAAGCGCACAGAGCUGCAUGGCUCAGUGUGAAAAACUCCGGUGGUAUAAGAUGGACCCGCGUUGGAUUAGCUGGUUGGUGGGGUAACGGCCCACCAAGGCGACGACCCAUAGCCGGCUGAAGAGGUGGACCGCCACAAUUGGACUUAGACACGGCCCCGACUCCUACCGGGAGGAGGAAGGGGGAAAAUUACACAAUGGGGGAAACCCUGAUGCAGCGACGCCGCGUGAAGGAAGAAGUAUCUCGGUAUGUAAACUUCUAUCAGCAGGGAAGAUAGUGAUGGUACCUGACUAAGAAGCCCCGGCUAACUACGUG
rnacentral:rRNA from 1 species